rnacentral:rRNA from 1 species
AGCGAACGCUGGCGGCAGGCCUAACACAUGCAAGUCGAACGAACUCUUCGGAGUUAGUGGCGGACGGGUGCGUAACACGUAUACAAUCUGCCUUUUACUGGGGGAUAGCCUUUCGAAAGAGAGAUUAAUACCCCAUAAUAGUUGACCAGGCAUCUGGUUGAUUUGAAAGCUCCGGCGGUAAGAGAUGAGUAUGCGUCUGAUUAGCUAGUAGGUGAGGUAACGGCUCACCUAGGCCACGAUCAGUAGGGGAUCUGAGAGGACUAACCCCCACACGGAUACUGAGACACGGAUCCGACUCCUACGGGAGGCAGCAGUAGGGAAUAUUGGACAAUGCCCGCAAGGGUGAUCCAGCCAUGCCGCGUGCAGGAAGACGGCCCUAUGGGUUGUAAACUGCUUUUAUACAAGAGAAAACCUCCCUACGUGUAGGGAGCUGAUAGUAUUGUAGGAAUAAGCAUCGGCUAACUUCGUGC